rnacentral:tRNA from 1 species
GCCCGAGGAGCUCAGUCGGUAGAGCGUUAGGCUUUUAACCUAACGGUCCAGGGUUUCAGCCCCUGCUCGGGCG